rnacentral:rRNA from 1 species
UACGGAGGGUGCGAGCGUUGUCCGGAAUCACUGGGCGUAAAGGGCGCGUAGGUGGCGCGGGCAGUCAACGGUGAAAGUUCGGGGCUCAACCCUGAAUCGGCCGUCGAUACUCCCGUGCUUGAGCACUGUAGAGGCAGAUGGAAUUCCGGGUGUAGCGUUGGAAUGCGUAGAGAUCCGGAAGAACACCGGUGGCGAGGGCGGUCUGCUGGGCAGUAGCUGACACUGAGGCGCGACAGCGUGGGGAGCAAACAGG